rnacentral:rRNA from 1 species
CUUCUCUGAUGUUAGCGGCGGACGGGUGAGUAACACGUGGGUAACCUACCUAUAAGACUGGGAUAACUCCGGGAAACCCGGGGGCUAAUACCGGAUAAUAUUUGAACCGCAUGGUUCAAUAGUGAAAGACGGUUUCGGCUGUCACUUAUAGAUGGACCCGCGCCGUAUUAGCUAGUUGGUAAGGUAACGGCUUACCAAGGCGACGAUACGUAGCCGACCUGAGAGGGUGAUCGGCCACACUGGAACUGAGACACGGUCCAGACUCCUACGGGAGGCAGCAGAA